GCCCUGGUCCUUUAGCAGCGGACACCCUUGGAGGCUGCCCUUUUCCCCAGCACUGCCUGCAGUCAUCAAAUAGCAUGGAGCCCACUGAAUGAGUGUGCAAUUCACAGUCACGAUUGGCAACCAGGCACAGAAUUCCAAGAGAGCUAUUGUGCUACACACUCAACUGAAAAUUCUCAUCCUGAGGUUUGAGUCCAUCCAUGGCCUGGCACUUAAUCUCCUCCAGUUCCACAACGCUUCAAGAAUUCUCUAAUUCUGGUGCAUCCCACCACCAACCACCAACUCUUCUGCUCCUUGAACAGACGAGUCCGGCCCCUUGAGUCAUACAAUGAGGCGAGGAGCAGAGUCUUUGUAAAGCAGCAAGCCUUUGAAAAGGCCGUACCCAGCUCUCAAAGAAUUACCCUUUUACUUCAUUCCAGCCCAUCUGCACUGGCACUUUGAAUUGGAUCACAUCAGAAUCAAGAAAGAAUCAGGUGGAAAAUUAAACUGGAUGACCACGUUCCCUUCCACUUCCCAGCAUUCUCUCUUGUGUGCCGCAUUCACUUGUUUGGCCAAACUUCUAAGUUUAAACCAAAACCACUGCGGAUGCUG